rnacentral:rRNA from 1 species
CAGUCGCCGCGGGAAAACAGAGGGUGCAAGCGUUAAUCGGAAUUACUGGGCGUAAAGCGCGCGUAGGUGGUUUGUUAAGUUGGAUGUGAAAGCCCCGGGCUCAACCUGGGAACUGCAUCCAAAACUGGCAAGCUAGAGUACGGUAGAGGGUGGUGGAAUUUCCUGUGUAGCGGUGAAAUGCGUAGAUAUAGGAAGGAACACCAGUGGCGAAGGCGACCACCUGGACUGAUACUGACACUGAGGUGCGAAAGCGUGGGGAGCAAACAGGAUUAGAUACCCGGGUAGUCCCUGUCUCUUAUAC